rnacentral:misc_RNA from 1 species
UCAGUCGUUCGUUGGAGCGCGUCCUGGCAGCAACGCGAGCGAGGCGCUGCUCCUCUCUCAGAAGCUCUGUUGUGUGUGCGUCGCAGAGGUGAUGAUGUAGAUUGUUUCUAGUACCUACAAGCUACUUAAACUCGAGUCGAGAGGUAAUGCUAUAAGACUGGAAAAAGUCAAAAUGGUAAAUACAAGGCGUUUGUCCAAAAUGAGUGUUGCAGUCUAUCUAGUGAUGGUCGGUGCCAUCUCCGCGAACUGGGUGCCAUAUACGCUAGGCGGCAAUACCGUCAUGGUGGACAGCAGUGCCCUGGGACACAGCAAACCUCUUCUGAUAUACCUCCAAGAGGGUAUGCCUCAUCGUAGAAAUUCUGACGAAGUCAAUGACAACGCAGAGGCCGUGGACACGGAAGGGAGCGUACCAGAUGCAGGCGCGGAACGCAAGACCGAGUCUCCUUCCGAUGCGCCGCACGAAGACGCUGAGCCAGACACUCAGGCAUCAAAUCUUUUCACCAAUCAAUUUGGAUUCACCAAAGAUAAAAACGGCAAUCUGAACAUCGACGUGUUUCCCACAUCCCAGACCUGGGACUGGGAAAACCAGGAUGUUCUUCCCGGCACCCACGAGUCCCUGUACUACGCUGUCCAGACCCCAGACGCCAGCCACGUCUCGCAGAAGAUCCAUAAUAUCGUGACGACCCUCAACCAGAAUAACGCCGGCGUGAAGUUGAACGACCGAGCGCCCAUCGAUGCCUUUCCCAUCAUGCCCGCCCGCCCAGGAGACGUCCCUCCCGUCCUGAGCGAAAGCGGGUUUGCCGGUGUGUCUGUGAUGCACAAAGUCCCACAGGACACUGAACCCUACGACGAGUCCACGACAAAUACUGGAAAUUUCAAUCUGUACGUAAAUAAUGAUCCCAUUGAGUCAGCGACCCCAGAAGGAGGCGUUUAUCAAUACGAAGAUCAAAUCAUUUUCGAACCACCGGCCUUCCCGUCCCUCAGUUCGUGGGUCAAUGUUGAUCACAGAAUCAAACAAAAGGAUCCCUCCGUGCAUGCAGCGACGGGUUUGCAACUAGGAAGUCCGCACGCGGCGCCUCUCGCACCCAGUGACCUACAUCGCCCCGGCCAUGACUCAUCGAACGCUCCAGAACAAAUCGCUGAGCAAGUUAGCGAUUCGCUCGUCGCGGUCUCUGCUGCCGACGAGAAGCAGGCAGCGAAUACCAAAGAUGAGUCUUCAGUUACUAGUACGACACAAGUUUCUGAUGUCAGUCUGGAUGUAACCCAACUCCCCGAAGUCACACAAGAUGCACCUACAAUUGCCAGUGCUACUCACGUCACUGAUGUCAGAGAGGGUGCUUCUCCAACCAGUGACGUCCCGAGUGUCUCUCAGGACAACGGUAUUAUCACUGAAGCGGCUAUUGAGUCCACCAGUGAAGCGCAAAGUACUGUUCAGAGUGAAGGUUCAGUGAGUGACAUUUCCAGCCAACAAACGGAAAAUGACGCUCUGAUAGAAGCCAGUGUGGCAAAUCCAAUGCAAAGUUCAGCCCAGGGUCAAGAAGAAGCCACAGAAAAUCCAGAAAACGGGAACGACGACCUCGGUGGUGAAGUCUCCACGAUCCCCGAUGUCCUAGAAACGACAGAGGCAUCUUCUGAAGUGAACACGACAAUCCCUGUGGAUGAGUUCCUGCUUCAGAAGGAGGAAGAAUUAAGACUCAAGGAAGAACAGGAGAAGCAAGCGAUGCUAGCCGAGCAGCAGGCUCACCUUGCUCUUGAACUAGCGAUGGCAGACCUCUUCACAGAUUUCACCAAAGAUGAAAAGACUAAUCAGUCCGAGAGCGACACCGAUGAAGUUGAAGGAAAUCCAUUAUCCAUUACUACAAUUGAGCGAGAUUCCUCGGACCUGCUAGACGAGUCCGAUCAAAGAGCUGAUUCUCAGCUUCAGGAAACACAGACAGACAUUCCUGAGAUCUAUCAGACAACAACAGAAUCUAGACAGUCAGACGACCAACAAAUCAUCCAGAUAACAAGAGUAGAUGAACAGUCAACCAACGACCAGGAAACCAACGCUGAUGACCGCGUUGAAAGCUUUGUCCAUCAACCCACUUUGGAAGGAGAGUCAGACAUGAGUCAGGACGCGCGAGAAGAGGAGCAGUUUGGCACCACGCAAGAAGCUCUGGAAAAGCAGGCGGACGACCUGCCUGUUAGCACUCAAAAAACUAUAGUUAGAGAGUCAGGAGAUAUUCAGGAAACGCAGUUAGAGGAUCAGGUCGUCACCACUCAGGCACCCCAAGCAGAGAGGCAACCAGACGAUAUUCAGAAAGCACAGCUGGAUAGCAGUCAAGUUACCCUAUUUGACGGACGGCCAGACACCAGUCAGCAGACCCAUGUGGAAGAUCAGCUCAGCGCUUAUCCCGCGACCUUGGAAAAAGAAAAGCCGGGCAGCAGCGAAGGGACGCUAGAAAUCAGGCCCCUGCCAAGCACGGACGCCACGCCCUUGCCCACCUUGCCCAUUCUGUACAUGGGCAACCCGUCCCUCCUGAGCGACUUCCCUCCGACGCGCGAUGGGCCGACGUCCUCACAGACCGACCUCCACUACUCCCCGGCCGCCGGCGUCGACCUCCGCCCCAUCACCACAGACCAGGAGGACGGCGUGUACAACCAGAGGCACAACCCGCCCGGCCCCGAGUCCAGCCUCAUCAGCUGGUACGACCGCGACCCCAUAACCAUCUUCGACCCCCACCACCACUCGUCGAAGGUCACGGGGGCCCCCGAGAAGUCCGGGACGCCCAGCCCGCAGGACAACGACAUCCAGACUGGGGGAGGAGGCAUCCCGGGCCACCAGCCGCCCAGGCUCGACACCAACGACGAUGACGUCUUCCUUCCCGAAGAGGCAAAUAACACGGUGUCUCUUGUGAAGAAUGGAGCUGUUUUCCACGCCGCUAAUCCCAGCCUCAUUGAGAAGAGAACAUGCAGAUGUGGUCUGCGGUUCAACACAAAGAUCGUCGGCGGAGAUCCAACAGAUAUUGCACAGUAUCCGUGGCAGAUUGGCUUGGCCCAGAAAUACGACAAUUUUGUUUUCUGCGGAGGUUCCAUCAUCAACGAUCGAUAUAUCCUCACAGCCGCCCACUGUGUUGAUGGAAACUAUCCCGAAAACCUGGUCGUUCGCGUCGGUGAAACAACAAGAUCGGGUCCUGCAAUAACCAUAGAUGUAGAGAGAAUCACAGUUCAUGAAAAGUACAGCCACGAGUCGAUAGUCUCCUACGACAUUGCUUUACUGAGAUUAGCUUGGCCUAUUGAGUUCUCCGAGUCGGUUUUGCCCGUCUGUCUUCCGAAUAAUAAUAAGAAAUUCAGCAACAAGAAAGCGGUCGUCACCGGAUGGGGAAAAGAUAACUCCGUUGGCAAUGUACAGGAGAGGUUACAUGAAGUUACAGUCAAGGUUUUAUCAACGAAGAAGUGUAGAAAAAAUUCAGAAUAUGACAAGAAGGAAGUUCAUAAGAACAUUGUCUGUGCAGCGUCUAGAGAUAAAGAUGCUUGUCAGGGCGACAGCGGCGGGCCUCUGGUAGUUCUCGAGAGCGACUCCUACACGCAGAUCGGCGUGGUGUCUUGGGGCAUCGGCUGCGCGGAGCCGGACUACCCCGGCAUCUACACCCGUGUCUCAUCGUAUAUGAAGUGGAUCGGGGAUAAUACCCAAGAGGGCGUUAUGUGCCGAGGCCCUUCGGUUAAGGUAAAGGAUAAGAAUAAGAAUAAGAAUAAGAAUAAGAAAAACAAGAGGAAAAAUAAGAAUAAGAAGCAAAAUAAGGACAACAAGGAAAACGAGGACGAAGACGAGAAUAACAACAGAAAAAAGAACAAACCCGCUCUCGCCGGUCAGAUCUUGAAACUCACCGGCGGAGAAACAAACAAACGGAAAGAGAACAGGAACAAGAACAAGAACAAGAAUAAGAAUAAGAACGAAAAUGAAGGAGGGGAUAAAGAAUGGCAGAGUCUCACUCAAGCACUCAAAGGAAUCGCUGAGAUAUUUCGGGAAGAAGCCGACGAUACCCCAACGCCUGAACCAACGGCCGAAAAAUAGUCUCAGUGUUUCACAGCUUUAGGAAGUUUUUUGAGGCUCUAGAUGCCAGACUGGAAACUUGCUCUUGCACUCUUCUCUGUAGUUGUGCUCAUUUGUCGCGCAAAAGGCUCACAUAGAAAUUACAAUAAAUAGAUAAGUGAAUAAAUAGUAAAGACAGUGACAACAAAACAAAAAUAAAAUAAGUAAAAAUAAAUUUCCAGUUUGGUUUAGAGAUAAGCUUUAUUUAUGUUGGUCUCGAAUUUCUAAUGUGAAUGAGGCAUUUUUGAAUGACUUCGGUGUUAUAUUUAUUGGGGUAAAAUUAUGGGGAUAAUUUUUUGGUGGCAUUAUUAUUCAUAUUUAUAUCAUGACUCAUAUUUAUAUAUCAUAUAUAUAUUUAUAUAUAUUUAUUUCACUGAUUAGCAUUUAAUUACCUUAUACAUGAAUUUUAUUUAUCUGGCGAUUUUUUCGCGUUGUUGAUUAAUAUAUAAAACGUAAUCCUAUUGUAGGCGAUGUUGUAUGACUUCAAUACACGGUUAUUUGUU